ACGUACAUACAUAUACGCGAAAAAUUUGUAGGUGGGUACAUAUCAAUUACCCAUUUGCAGGCAAUUAAAAUGAUAAAUAGGCGACACACAAACGCCUGAGCUUGAGCUGUUGUUGUUAUUGUAUUGUUUAUUAAUGCUGUUAUUAUUGUAGA